rnacentral:rRNA from 1 species
UACAGAGGGGGGCAAGCGUUAUUCGGAAUUAUUGGGCGUAAAGGGCGCGUAGGCGGCUUUGCAAGUGGCGGGUGAAAGCCCUCGGCUUAACCGAGGAACUGCCUGUCAGACUGUGAGGCUUGAGACCGGGAGAGGUGAGUGGAAUUCCCCAGUGUAGCGGUGAAAAUGCGUAGAUAUUGGGAGGAAACACCAGUGGCGAAGGCGACUCUCUGGGCUGUAACUGACGCUGAGGCGCGAAAGCGUGGGGAGCAAACAGG